rfam:Ictidomys tridecemlineatus contig030798, whole genome shotgun sequence.
UGGGUUGUAGCUCAGUGGUUGAGCGCUUACCUCGCAGGCAUGAGGCACUGGGUUCGAUCCUCAGUACCACAU